rnacentral:tmRNA from 1 species
GGGGAUGCCGGAUUUUGACAGGACUUUAAAAUCGUUUUAUAUACAAGACGAGCCAGCUUGCAAGCUCGUAAAUCUUACAAGCAAUCAUACGUGAAAACGCAUGGAACAAGGUCGUUGCUGCUUUCAAUAGCAAGCAACUUGCACCUGCGUUCGCCUAACCUUUAGGCAACGCCCAGCCCUACUGUCCGCUCUGACCGUAGAUCAGCUGGUUUAUUUGGAGCUAUAGUUGAAUGGUCUGAUAUACAUCAUUCAACCGAAAUUAAGUAUAUCGCCCGACUGCUUAGUUGUCCGUUGUGAGGCUGUCGGUAUUUUAACGGACUAAUCUUGUGACCAAUGAUUCGAUUGCUUAGUUUUGGACGCGGGUUUAACUCCCGCCAUCUCCACCA